UCCAGGGUAGCCUAGUGGACAUGGCAUCUGCCAGGUAAGCGGAAGGUUGUGGGUUCGAUUCCCGCCCCUGGAC